rnacentral:rRNA from 1 species
ACUCAAAUGAAUUGACGGGGACCCGCACAAGCAGUGGAGCAUGUGGUUUAAUUCGAUGCUACGCGAAGAACCUUACCGACCCUUGACAUCCUGGUCGUAUCCUCUGGAGACAGAGGAGUCAGUCUGCUGGACCAGUGACAGGUGUUGCAUGGCCGUCGUCAGCUCGUGUCGUGAGAUGUUGGGUUAAGUCCCGCAACGAGCGCAACCCUUGUUGUUUGUUGUAUUUUUCAAACAAGACUGCCCGAGCCAAUCGGGAGGAAGGUGGGGAUGACGUCAGGUCAGCAUGACCCUUAUGGGUCGGGCUACACACGUGCUACAAUGGCCGGUACAACGGGCUGCUAAGCCGCGAGGCGGAGCUAAUCCCAUCAAAACCGGUCCCAGUUCGGAUUGGAGGCUGCAACUCGCCUCCAUGAAGUCGGAAUUGCUAGUAACCGUAGGUCAGCAUACUACGGUGAAUACGUUCCCGGGUCUUGCACACACCGCCCGU